AUAAAAGUUUUAUUUUAGCUUGGUUAAUUUAUUUUUAAUUAAAUUAUAUAUAAAUAUUUGUGUUUUUAGUGUUUUAAUUAGAUAUUAAAAUAAGGAAUUUUAUAAGUAGUAAAAAAUUUUUUAAAUUAAUGAGAAUUUGAUUAAGUAAUUUAAAUUAGUAUUAACAUAAUUUGUGCCAGCAGUUGCGGUUAGACAAAUAAUGCAAUAAAUUAUUUUUAGUUUAUAAUAAAUAUUUAAAAUUUAAUUAAAAUUAAAAAUUAUUAGGUGAAAUUUUAAUUUUUAUAAAAUUAUAUUAUAUUUAUGAUUUAUUAAAUUUUAUAUAAAACUAGGAUUAGAUACCCUAUUAUAAAAAUGUAAAUUUUUAACUUAAUUAGUAUUUGUUAUGUUCAUGAAAAUUAAAAAAUUUGGCGGUAUUUUAGUCUUUUCAGAGGAAUUUGCCCUAUAAUUGAUAAUCCACGAUUUAUUUUACUUGUAUUAAAAGUUUGUAUAUCAUCGUAGUUGAGUAUUUUUUAAGAAUUUAAAUAUUCAAAAUUUAUAAUUUUAAAAAAAAUCAGAUCAAGGUGCAGUAUAUAUAUAAGAAGAGGUGAAUUACAAUAAUAUAUUUUUGGAUUUAUAAAUGAAAAUUGUAAUGAAAUUGGAUUUGAAAGUAAUUUAAUUAAAUUAAAUUUUAUGAUUUUAGCUCUAAAAUAUGUACAUAUCGCCCGUCACUUUCAUUUAAAAUGAAAUAAGUCGUAACAAAGUAGGUGUACUGGAAAGUGAAUCUAGAAUG
rnacentral:ncRNA from 1 species